AACAUCGUUCAUACAACAUCGCUGAUGCUAUUUCGAUUGUUCCUUGAUACUUAUGGAUCCACAUUCGCUACGUACCACUCACGCUUGUCUCAAUCUCAAUAAUACGUAUCCAGACGAAAAUACGAUGAUGGAACAGAUUUGCGCAAGAAAACAGAUAUACAAAGAAAUAGGAGGAAACAAGAAAGAACACAUAAUUUCAAAUAUUAUUUAUUAUUAUUAUUAUUAUAAUUCCUGUACAGGAAUUUCUUCUAAAAACGAGCAGGAAUAUGUGAUGAAAUAAAACUGUAAAAGUGAUAUUUUUGCUUUUCACAAAAGAAAUACGAGGAACCACGAAGGUAGAAGGAGUGUAAAGGUUAAGAAAAUACAAGAACGUAACCGAUAUGUUUUU